AAUCCGCUCGUCUAUCUCUCUCUCAAUCAAAACCAUGGAGGGCCGCCUACUCGGAGUCACCAGAUCCAAUUUCAAGUCCUUCGCCGGACCGAAGAAACUCCGAGGUGAGAUCCGGACUCCUAUCUCUUGCUAUGCUUUUUAACUUUGUUUGUUUUUGUUUUUAGGGUCUUUGAGGAAGAAAAAGAUUAUCUGUAAUUCCGAAUUUGCAGCUUAGUUAAGGUCUCUGCUUUCAAUCUGCAUAUGUUUUUAGGGUUACGGUGCUUGAAUUUAAUUGACAUGAUGCCUAAUUUUUUGUUUUCAUAAUAAUUCCCAUGUAUUAUUGUUUUCUUUGGUUUCAUUUAAUUAUUAAUAGCUCUAGGGAUUCAGAUCAGAAUCAAUUAGGUAUCUCAACUUUGUUUAAUUCCUGGUUACCGAGUAGAAUGUUAAACCAAAUUUUGUAGCUAGGCAAGAUUUUAAUUUCACUAUCAAUUAAGUAUAUUCGCAAUUCUGUUUGAUUAUCCUUGUUACUUUCCUUGUGUAGAAUUAACUCUCAACAAAUUUCUUACUUUACGUAGGAAUUUCAAGUAGCUAUUUAUACAUAUUUUGAUGGGGUGGAACAAUUUGGUUGGACUUAGUUGAUCAUAUUUUAUUAAUCAAUUUGGUUGGACUGAGUUUUUUGUUUAUUCAUUUUUUAUUUUUAGAAUUUGAUGGGAGUAGAACAGCCUUUGUUGCUAUUGUACUCUUUUCUGGAGUUGGUGUGGCUGUAGAAUCGAGGAUUACAUCUCUUCCUCCAUUGACCAAGAGUGAUAUUCAUUCUUCUUUUUUCUUUUUUUUGUAUUGUUUUAUUCCGUUCUAGUGUUUUUUUUGUUACUUUAUUGUUAAUAUCAUUUGUUUUUAUGUUUUUCAGCUUUAUAUCCUCAGCAUAAACUUCACAUUAUUAGAGAUGAUCGUCCUGUUUUAGCAGGAUGGUGCCAUUCUAAUAUUGAGGGGAUGACGCUAAUUGAUCAUUUGAAAAGUAAUGCGAAAAAGAAAAAUCUUAAAAAUAUAGUAAAAACCUGGCAGAGACUAUCUGAGCACUAAGACUGAAAGAUUUAAUGUCUAGUGCUACGGUUGAACGAGGGGUAUGUUACUAAUUUGUUAGAUUUAAUAUUAUGGUAUCUUGAUUCGAUUCACUUUUAUAGUUAUUAAUUUUGCUUUUUUGGUUUAUUUUGGUUGUGCUACGUAGUAGUCCCUAGCUCACAUUAUCAAUCGUUUUUGUGACACUCUGGGGUAUGCAAAUUUUGUGAGCUAGGGGAUCCUACAUAUCACAACCAAAAUAAAUUAAAAAAGCAAAAUUACUAUAAAAGUGAAUCGAAUCAAUCGAAUCAAGAUACCAUAAUAUUAAAUCUAACAAAUUAGUAACGUACCUCUCGUUCAACCGAGGGUUGAUCUCAGAAAUCGAAGAGGCGUUUGCUUUCUCAAAAGUUGGGCUGCUCAAAGACCACGAAGGCCGAUCUCAGAAAUCGAAGAGGCGCUCGCUUUCUCAAAAGCUGGGCUACUCAGAGACCACGAGGGCCGAUCUCAGAAAUCGAAGAGGCACCUACUUUUCCAGCCUUGUCAGCAUCUGUCACACGCACACUCAGCUUUGCGGAAAUUAUGGGCAUUCUGUCGAAGACUUCUGGGGAAGUAGAAAACACAUGAAUCUUACUGUUCAAUCACCCACUUUCCACACGCAACAAUAGCUCAUGGGUACCACAGAUAACUUUGCCAAAAUUGAGUACGUGAAGCUUGCAGCUCCCACUACAUCGUUCUGACCAAGAAGGGUAAAAGAAUAGCAAAGAAACAGCACUAACAAAGUUUAGACCUAUAAAUUUUGAAGGUCUAGCUACCAUAUUAUUACCCACAAGGGUAAAGGAACAGUACCACUGCUGGAUAAUUGGAAAGUCCCUGUGUGUCAACCUCUGUGCUUCGAGGCAAGGUAGACUAGCAAACAUGCCCAACCUUUACUCACAUUCGAGAAAACACUCCCAAUAAGAUUGCUUGCUCCAAAAUCGAAGAGGCACCGUCCUCCGAAUCUCGAGAGCCAGACUCCCAACAUGACUACUUUCUUAAAAAUCGAAGAGAGGGUAAAGGAACAGUACCAUUGCUGGAUAAUUAGAAAGUCCCUGUGUGUCAACCUCUGUGCUUCGUGGCAAGGUAGAAUAGCAAACAUGCCCAACCUUUACUCACAUUCGAGAAAACACUCCCAACAAGAUUGCUUGCUCCAAAAUCGAAGAGGCACCGCCCUCCGAAUCUCGAGAGCCAGACUCCCAACAUGAUUACUUUCUCAAAAAUCGAAGAGACUGCUCCCCGAAUCUUCGAGAGCCAGACCCCCAGCAUGAUUGCUUUCUCAAAAAUCGAUAAGGCAUCGUUCUCCGAAUCAAUCGAAGAGACACUCGCUUUCUCAAAAGCUGGGCUGCUCAGAGACCACGAGGGCCGAUCUCAGAAAUCGAAGAGGCACCUACUUUUCUAGCCUUGUCAGCACCUGUCACACGCACACUCAGCUUUGCAGAAAUUAUGGGCAUUCUGUCGAAAACUUCUGGUGAAGUAGAAAGCACAUGAAUCUUACUGUUCAAUCACCCACUUCCCACACGCAACAAUAGCUCAUGGGUACCACAGAUAACUUUGCCAAAGUUCUCUGCCAAAGUUGAGCACGUGAAGCUUGCAGCUCCCACUACAUCGCUCUGACCAAGAAAGGUAAAAGAAUAGCAAAGAAACAGCACUAACAAAGUUUAGACACAUAAAUUUUGAAGGUCUAGCUACCAUAUUAUUACCCACAAGGGUAAAGGAACAGUACCACUCUGCUGGAUAAUUGGAAAAUCCCUGUGUGUGUCAACCUCUGUGCUUCGUGGCAAGGUAGACUAGCAAACAUGCCCAACCUUUACUCACAUUCGAGAAAAACACUCCCAACAAGAUUGCUUGCUCCAAAAUCGAAGAGGCACCGUCCUCCGAAUCUCGAUCUCGAGAGCCAGACUCCCAACAUGACUACUUUCUCAAAAUCGAAGAGAGGGUAAAGGAACAGUACCAUUGCUGGAUAAUUGGAAAGUCCCUGUGUGUCAAUGUGUCAACCUUUGUGCUUCGUGGCAAGGUAGACUAGCAAACAUGCCCAACCUUUACUCACAUUCGAGACAACACUCCCAACAAGAUUGCUUGCUCCAAAAUCGAAGAGGCACCGCCCUCCAAAUCUCGAGAGCCAGACUCCCAACAUGAUUACUUCCUCAAAAAUCGAAGAGACACUGCUCUCCGAAUCUCGAGAGCCAGACCCCCAGCAUGAUUGCUUUCUCAAAAAUCGAAGAGGGCAUCGUUCUCCGAAUCUCGAGAGCCAGAUACCACAGACCACUUUUUUUCAAAGUGCUCUGACAGAGUUAAAACAUGUGAAACUGCUCCCACUACUGUGCUAUGACCAAGCAGGGUAAAGGAAUAGCAUUACUACUUGUUGUUAGGGAGACUCCUAUAUAUGUCGACCUCCAUCCCCAACGGACAGGCAGACCUGCAAAAAUGCUCAACCCUUCAUCAUAUCUGAGAGGGCACUCCCAACGAAGCCUUUCGAAAUAUUCAGCUUUCUUUCCCCCCGAUAAUACCUCUGCAAACAAGCUAUACUAGAGCAAGAAUAUCUCAUAUCAUCAGGGUUAAAAGCAAGAGUAUCCCAUAUCAUGCUUUUUCCCUGUCUUUUCCUUUGGCCUUGUUUUUUACCUGCAAGACAAUGAGAAAGAGAGCAAUCAGUCAGCACUUGGAAUCAAGCUUCCAGCCAGGAACUGACUGCCUGGAACCCCUUACCUGAUUACUUACCUGACAUUGCUCUCGAGUACUCAUCUUCAACAUCUUAUGUUUCCAGGGAAGAUUCCGCAUCUGCUUGAGGAACAGAUAGGGCAAGUGCGAAGGAUACAAGGAAGCAUGUGGAGACAAGCGUAACAGCACACGUGCCGAUACAUCCAUUACUCUGUCAAAAGCAAAAGUAUCCCAUAUCAGCAGGGUGGAACGUACUCUAGAUUUGAUGGACUUGUUUUGACCCUCAAAUUCUCCAGUCGGCCUUAUACUCUGGAGGAAACCAGAAAACCCUUCAGCUCAGUUCAAGAAUAAGCCUGUGGAAAGUUACUUCUUCAAAAGCAAAAGUAUCUUAUAUCAUCUCUUCUCAUUUUUCUUCUCUUUAUCCUUCAUGCUGCUGCAAGAUGGGGAGAAGGUGAACAAUCAGUCGGAGCUCUGAUUGCUUACCUUGUCUGUCACCUCUUUCAGCAGACCCCCUAGCUCGGCGACUUGGGGGACUCCUACUACAUGGUUUGUAUCGCGCUUGACCAAGCCUGAAACUACAAGUAAGCUUCAAGUGAAAUUGAUACAUUACCUUGUGCAUCUCCACCAAUUAAAGAUACCACCCCUGGAUGGAGGAAGAGUACUUCCAGAGAAGAUGCCACAUCUACCUAUGAGACAGAUAAGGCAAGUCAAGACGACACCACACUCCGAUACUUAGAAGUUUCGUGAUUACGAGAUCAUUCUCCCAUAAUAUUUCCUAAUGUCAUUUGUAAUAAAUCAUUCACUUGUACUUACUAAAGGAGAGCUUGAACCUAUGUACUUGUGUAAACCCUUCACAAUUAAUGAGAACUCUUCUAUUCCGUGGACGUAGCCAAUCUGGGUGAACCACGUACAUCUUGUGUUUGCUUUCCUAUCUCUAUCCAUUUAUAUACUUAUCCACACUAAUGACCGGAGCAAUCUAGCGAAGAUCACAAAAAGCGACCGUUUUCGCUACCUAGGAUCUAUCUUGCAAGAGAACGGAGAAUUAGAUGGAGAUCUCAACCAUAGAAUACGAGCUGGAUGGAUGAAGUGUAAGAGUGCAUCCGGCGUGUUGUGUGACCGUCGUAGGCCACUGAAGCUCAAGGGAAAAUUUUAUAGGACGGCAAUAAGGCCAGCGAUGUUGUAUGGCACAGAAUGUUGGGUGGUGAAGCAUCAACACGUACACAAAAUGGGUGUAGCGGAGAUGAGGAUGCUUCGUGGGAUGUGUGGGCACACGAGAAAUGAUAAGAUUGGGAAUGAGGAUAUCCGAGGUAAAGUAGGAGUAGCCGAAAUUGUAGGAAAGAUGAGAGAAAAUCGGCUCCGGUGAUUUGGACAUGUGCAAAGAAGGCCGACUGACGCUCCGGUUCGAAGAUGUGACUACGGGACAGAGGUUCAGGGCCGAAGGGGUAGAGGAAGACCUAGGAAAACUUUGGAAGAGACUCUAAGAAAAGACUUAGAGUACUUGGAUCUAACGGAGGACAUGACACAAAACCGAGCGCAAUGGCGUUCUAGGAUUCAUAUAGCCGACCCCACUUAGUGGGAAAAGGCUUUGUUGUUGUUAUUGUACCCCUCGUUCAACCGAGCAUACGUAGCACUGGACAUUAAAUCUUUCAGUCUUGGUGCUCAGAUAGUCUCUGCCAAGUUUUACAAUAUUUUAAAGAUUUUUCUUUUUCGCAUUACUUUUCAAAUGAUGAAUUAGCGCCAUCCUCUCAAUAUUAGAAUGACACCAUCCUGCUAAAACAGGAGGAUCAUCUCUAAUAAUGUGAAGUUUAUGUUGAGGAUAUAAAGUUGAAAAACACAAAAACAAACGAUAUUAACAAUAAAGUAACAAAAACACUAGAACUGAAUAAAACAAUACAAAAAAGAAAGAAUAUCACUCUUGGUCAAUGGAGGAAGAUAUGUAAUCCUUGAUUCUACUGCCACACCAACUCCAGAAAAGAGUACAAUAGCAACAAAGGCUGUUCCACUCCCAUCAAAUUCCAAAAAUUGGUUUUAGAAUCUUGCAAGGGCUUAUAAAAUGUUUGGCUACCUCCUCAUAUUACCAAUUGGUUUUAUGUUUGAACCUCAACUUUCUUCAAUAUGAAUUCCAUUACAUGUUUAAGAACUUAUUCAAAUAAUUCUAUGUGCUUAUGGGAAGGAGAAAAUUUAGUGUAAGACUUUCUACACAAGUGGGUCGUCGAACCGUUCAAUAUUGAUAUAAACAUAUUGAUACAUUAUUAUUGACAUGUCGUCUACAUGAUUGAUACUAUUAGUUUUUCAAUUCUAUAAAUGUCGACGUCGAUAAAAGUCUAGAAGAAAAUAAAUGAAGAUGGGAUAGCAUCUUAUCGCAUGGUUAGAUAAGUUACAUGAUCAAUCCUAAAACCCUACCCACAUGCUUUAAGUUAUUCUACUUGGUUGAGAGUCUUGUGACGAAUUCAUACUCCAACACAUGUUUAAAUUUUUGUUAUUGUAGCUAACUAAAUAACCCAAAUGUUAGUUUAGCGAGUGCAACUUAAAAUGUUUUAAUAUUAAUUUUUUCUAAACUAACAACCCAAGCUUUUUUCUUCUCUUGAAGCCCAUCAAUUAUUGUCUUUGUGCAUGUAGAAGGUUCCAAAAAUUUUCAUUGUUAAGUACUUUUUCGGAUGAAUUUUUUUUUCCGUGUGAUAGGAACAUAGUCUAGUAUAUAAAACGUAAUAAUAUUAUUGGGUGAAAAUUUGAAAAAUGAAAAUUUCAACUAGUUAAUAUACCUAACUAUAUCCCUGCAAAUUGAAUAUCGCUUCUUGAGACCUACUCCAACCUUUGGAGUAAAACUUAAAUUUUAGGUUCUAAACUUACCCUAACUUGCUCCAACCACUGGGGCAAAUAUGAGUUAAAACUCAAAACUCAAUUUUGGGGCAAAUUUAGCCCAGGAUUCUCCCUUGGGUUAGUGAGGUUGACUCACCAUAUAUGUAUAUAUUUUGUAGUUUUAGAUUUGUAAAUUCAUUGAAUCUGACGGUUAAUAUCUAAUUUAAUCAAAUCUAACGGUAAAAAAAAUAUCAAACGGUCCAAAUUUAAAUCCAACGGCUAAAGUAAUUAAAAAUAAAAUUUUACGUGUUUCAUAUUCUUUGGUAGUGUUCCAUGGGUUUCAUGAUGUCGGUUUAAUGAUUUUUCAAUAUUUAUCGGAAUCUAAAUAUUUUUUUUAAGUUACUUUAAGAAAAAAAUUAUCCUAAAGUCAUUCUUUAAUAAUAUCGGGCUAAUAUUUUAACCCCUUAAAGGUUGGAG
rnacentral:lncRNA from 1 species